rnacentral:tRNA from 1 species
UAAACCCCUCCUCUACUA